AGGCAAGCGAGUCUAACACGUAUGCUGAUAUAGAAGCAUCGUAUAAAUGCCUCAAGGAAAAGUACGGCGUGAAAGACGAUCAACUUAUAUUAUAUGGUCAAUCUGUUGGUAGCGGACCUACGGUUGAUCUAGCCUCGCGCACACCUAACUUGAGAGGGGUGGUUUUACAGUGUCCUAUUCUGUCUGGGAUGAGGGUUUUGUAUCCGGUGAAAUGUACAUAUUGGUUUGACAUUUACAAGGUGAUUUUCUGGAUGUUAAUUUUUUGUUUUUGUUUCUGGUUACGUUUUAUAGCUGUUCGUUCACCUGUGCAUUUCCAUGUUUUUUUACAGAAUAUUGACAAGAUCGGCUCAGUAGCAUGUCCUGUAUUAGUCAUCCAUGUAAGUGACAACAUCAUGUCUUUCUUUUACCUUCCUUUUCAUUAUGAGAGUGAUUGAAUUAACAGCUCUCUUCAGAAGAAAGGUUGUUAUGCAUUUAUCUAGGAAGUUUCUGAAUGCAAGUUCGCUGAAGGAUAUUGUUGGUCUUUCAGGGAACUGCGGAUGAAGUAGUUGAUUAUUCUCAUGGUAGGCGGCUCUGGGAACUCAGCAAAGAGAAAUAUGAACCUUUGUGGAUUAGUGGAGGUGGACACUGCGACCUCGAACUAUAUCCAGAUUUCAUUAAACAUUUGAAGAAAUUUGUUGCAUCACUUGCCAACAAACAAGCGGCGAAGGCUGCCAUAUAACGAUAUAUUACCGUUAUGUUUGAAAUGGGUUGCUUUCGAGGAAUUUCUAGACAAGUUGGCUGGCGAAGUCAGUAGAAAAGUGAUAAGCAUGAAAAAUCCCAGAGGAGCGUCGAUAGAUCAUGUAGUAUUAUAAUGUGUUGAUGUGGAAUUUAGACUGGCAUACUGCAUUUCAUGAAUAAAUGUAUUUACUGCUCAUGUGAUUUAAUAGGUUCUAGGGAUAUUUCUUUCUUUAUUCAAUUUUUUUUUUUUUUGAAUUCUAGAAAGCUGGGGUUGAAUCCCGUAUUCCCCAAACCUCAAACCAGAUUAUAGAAUGUUAGUUUCAUCUAGUAGUUACUCAAACCGGAGACCUCUGAUACAAAUGUCAGGAUCUUUUCCGGUUUAUGCAAUAUUCAUUGAACAUACUUCAGUGUAAACCGAAAUAUCCUCUGAAACCGUAGAAGAUUCUGGAAGAGGAGCUGUGGGAAUUUGUAGAACAGGCCUAGGAGGGACUUCAAGAGCAUCUAUACUUCCUUCCAUCAUCUCUACCACUCUGUUCAUCGGUGGGCGAUCUGAAGGCGAAUAUUGAACACACCACAGGCCCACCAAUGCCAUCUUCUUUGCUAUCUCUUCUUCAUUGCUGAUUCCAUUCCCGGUAGGCGUUCCACUGUGUCCCUUCUCAAGAUCCUUAUAGAUCCAUUCUGGAAAGUACACUGAGCUUGUGCUAGAUGCAGUGUCUUCACUUGAUGUUUUAGUCCUUGCUCCUAUCAUCUCAAGAACCAACAUUCCAUAGCUAUACACAUCUGACUUGUGUGAGACUCUACCGUACACUCUUGAAAACACUUCAGGUGCAAUAUAUCCUAUCGUACCUCUUGUGUCUAGUAAUGACAAGAUGCUUUCUUUCCUCUCGCAGAGCUUAGCAAGGCCAAAGUCUGAAACCUUGGCGCAAAGAUUUCCAUCUAAGAGUACAUUCUGUGGUUUGAUGUCGAAAUGUACAAUCCUUGUUCUGCAUCCAUGGUGCAAGUACUCUAGACCACGAGCAACGCCUAAUGCGAUUCCAUAUAGUUCCAUCCAAUCCACAUUUGAUGAUCUCUUGCUUGAGAUGAACUUAUCAAGAGAUCCAUUUUCCAAGAAUUCAUAAAGAAUCGCUCUCUUGGUACCCUCAGCACAGAAUCCUAGCAAGGUAACAAUGUUGACAUGAGAUGUCUUGCUCAUGCUUACAACUUCGUUAACAAAGUCUUCACCAUUACCCGUUGUAUCAUUCAAGACCUUCACAGCAACCUUGCGGCCAUCACAAAGGGUUCCUCUAUAAACAAUUCCAAAUCCUCCUUUCCCAACCACUUCAGAAAAUGACUUUGUAAUUCUCUUUACUUGCGCGUAGCUAUAGUGUUCUAGUGGAAUAAGGUCCUUUAGAUUAAGUUGUCUAGGAACAUCUGAUGUCUUCCUUCUCCGUAUGAAGAGACAGAACAGAACUACGGCUGUAAGAAUAACCCCCACCAACCCGCAAGCAGAUCCGGUUCCUACACACGAAAACCGGAACAAUUUUCAUAGUAAGUAUAUGCAGUUUGCAUACAGUUUGAUCAAAUGGAACAAGAAAAGAGUAAACACCUGCUUUUGCGGCAGUAGAGAGGCCUGCAUCAACAUGAUGAGAAAAAGAAAAGCUUAGUAUAAACUUUAAGAUAAAAAUUUAUAUCUUACCGCUGCUAAAUUCGCCUUCUUCCCACCAACACCACCGUCCUACGAGGUGGUAGCCGACGAAAGCUGCGGCGGACGUCUGUACAUACCGGAAAUCCCACGGCGCGACGACGUCGACAUCCUCAAGCUCCGCACACGCUGCGGAAACGAGAUCGUGGCUGUUUAUGUAAAACACUCCAAAGCUAAUGGCACGAUUCUGUAUUCUCAUGGUAACGCCGCCGAUGUGGGACAAAUGUUUGAGCUUUUCGUCGAGCUUAGCAAUCGCCUUCGCGUCAACCUAAUGGGGUAAGAUCUCUCAAGCUUUUCACAUGUUGCAAAGUUUGAGUCUUUCACAAAAGUUUGAUUCAUUACCAUUGUUGUCUGAUAAGUCAAUCGGAUUUUUCUUUCCAUCAGGUAUGAUUACUCUGGUUAUGGUCAGUCUACAGGACAGGUACUACUACUCUCUGUUAUAGCAAGGCAUAAACUUUAUGGAUUGUUUUGUUAUUGAUGUCUGAACUUUAUGGUACUUGAAUCAGGCAAGCGAGUCUAACACGUAUGCUGAUAUAGAAGCAUCGUAUAAAUGCCUCAAGGAAAAGUACGGCGUGAAAGACGAUCAACUUAUAUUAUAUGGUCAAUCUGUUGGUAGCGGACCUACGGUUGAUCUAGCCUCGCGCACACCUAACUUGAGAGGGGUGGUUUUACAGUGUCCUAUUCUGUCUGGGAUGAGGGUUUUGUAUCCGGUGAAAUGUACAUAUUGGUUUGACAUUUACAAGGUGAUUUUCUGGAUGUUAAUUUUUUGUUUU
rnacentral:lncRNA from 1 species